CAUGCAAGUCGAGCGAGAAAGUCCCUUCGGGGAGCGAGUACAGCGGCAAACGGGUGAGUACCACGUGGGUAACUUGCCUUCGGGUGGGGGACAACCUCGGGAAACCGAUGCUAAUACCGCAUAACGUUAUGCUUUCGCAUGUUAGCAUAACCAAAGGGGGGGAUCUUCGGACCUCCCGCCUGAAGAGAGGCCCGCGCCUGAUUAGCUAGUUGGUAGGGUAACGGCCUACCAAGGCGAUGAUCAGUAGCCGGUCUGAGAGGAUGGCUGGCCACACUGGGAUUGAGAUACGGCCCAGACUCCUACGGGAGGCAGCAGUCUAGAAGCUUCGGCAAUGGGCGAAAGCCUGACCGAGCGACGCCGCGUGCAGGACGACGGUCUUCGGAUUGUAAACUGCUUUCGACAGGGAUGAACGGUAAGGAAGUUAAUAACUUCUUUAUUUGACAGUACCUGGAGAAGAAGCCCCGGCUAACUCCGUGCCAGCAGCCGCGGUAAUACGGAGGGGGCAAGCGUUGUUCGGAUUUAUUGGGCGUAAAGCGCGUGUAGGCGGUAGAGUAAGUCGAAUGUUAAAGACCCACGGCUCACCCGGGGGAAUGCGUCCGAUACUGCUUUACUUGAGUGCGGGAGAGGAAAGUGGAAUUCCUGGUGUAGCGGUGAAAUGCGUAGAUAUCAGGAGGAACACCGGUGGCGAAGGCGGCUUUCUGGCCCGCAACUGACGCUGAGACGCGAAAGCGUGGGGAGCGAACGGGAUUAGAUACCCCGGUAGUCCACGCCGUAAACGUUGGAUACUAGGUGUGGGAGGUUUUCUACCCCUUCUGUGCCGUAGCUAACGCAUUAAGUAUCCCGCCUGGGGAGUACGACCGCAAGGUUGAAACUCAAAGGAAUUGACGGGG
rnacentral:rRNA from 1 species